AAAAAGAUCCGUGACUGACGGUUUUUGUGGGGCACCACCAGGGAGCGGAUUCUUAAAAAGGCCGACCGUCUGGGCAGCAUCU
rnacentral:ncRNA from 10 species